GGGGAUGUGGCUCAGUGGUAGAGCUCUUGCCUUAGAUGCACAAGUACCUGGGUUCAAUCCCCAGCAUCACCU
rnacentral:tRNA from 1 species